rnacentral:ncRNA from 1 species
UUGUAGUUUGAAAGGAGAGCAAGCUAGGGCUUUCCUAGAUUAGCAUGGAAUCACACAAAUGACUGGAAAAAACACAAGACAGAAUUACUUUU